UUGAAUUGCCCUUUUUCUUCUGCUGAUAGCCUCUAAUUCUCAUGCCUACAGACACACAGAGGAAAAGGCUAUGCUUAUUUUCACUUUGGAGCUAGCUGGCACCACAGCUGAUGGCAUUUUAGUUAAAGUCCCUGUUACUGAUUGCAGAGCCGUUUGCAAAAUGGCUCCCUGGGCUGCACCUGUGAGACAGGACACAUCACACCUCACACCCUGACAGACCCCAGGUUUAUAGGAACUUUCCAUCCUCUUUUGAGGUGUUCUGGUCCCAUCACAAGUUUAGGUGAUUGCUUUUUCUUUUAGUGACAAUGCAACACCUAGAGACAGAGUGUUAUUUCUGCUGUGUAAUGGACCUUUAUUCUUUUUUCUCUAGAAAGAGCUGGGAUGUGGAUACACAGCACCCUGAUAGCAAGUUCACAAGGAAAGGUUGUAGUGCACUGUCACUGCACUUGGUUCAUUCUACUCAGUGUCUACCAGGACUGUCAAAGCAGCAAGUUUGUGCAAGACAUAAUGCUUAGAUCAAGUCUAUAUCAAGUCUCAUCCCAGUUUUAAUUCAGUUUACUUCAGCCCAACAAAACAAACCUCUUAUUGCUGUCUCGAGUACUGAGAAAAAAUAAUACACAAUUAGUCAAACACUUAUCCUCCCACCUGCCCAUUCUCAGAUUACCUUGUUUUGCAACCAGUCCUCUGGUAGAAAAUUCCUCUGAUGAAGUAACAGAUGGUGCAGCAGUUGAGGUGGGAACCUAACAGUUUCUGCAGCUCUGUUCCUCAGUGGUCCUGCCCUGCUCAGGUGUGCUGCUGGCAGCAGACCAUGGCCCCUUCAGGCACGUACCCAUUCUGGCUUGGCAGCGGCAACAACAGUUUCCUCAGGAUUGUCCCCACUCAGGGCAAGAUGUAGAGAUUAAUGCUGAUAAUGGAGUUUGUACAUAGUCUGUUUGCUGUACUAAUCUGAUAUUGAAUAAAAUCAACCAAAUUGCUUGUAAUUUUAGAAGUAUAGAAGACCAUAGAAAAGAACUGCAGAACUUGUAAAGUUAAUGAAGAUUAGAUAUCGCACCAUAUUCUUGGGAAAAGCGAUUAAAGUUUUUGUUGGUGGGGACUUAACUGCCCUCUUGACUGUUGUUCUGGAUUUCGCAAGAUUUCAGUUCUGUUACUUGUACCUCAAGGUACAGAAGUGACAAAGUUCUUGCAGCACUUCUUUCUGACAAAGUGUUACUUUGGCCAGAUUCCUUUACUACAGAAUGUCCGAGCAGAGCUGUCAGGAAGAAAGUUCCGUUUAGGACCACUUCAAAAUAAUUGUUUACUACUCAGAAAACUAUUACUAAAUAUGUUUAAUGACUCUGGAAACAAGAAUCAAUCAAAACCAAGGAAGAAAACCAAAUGGACCAAUACUCAAGUUAAUUUAAAUCUUACCUUGGUAGCUGCUUUUCUUAAAUU